rnacentral:lncRNA from 1 species
GUCAUAUCCUGUCUCUGCGGGGUUGGGAAACAGCAUCAGAUUAACCACAGUGAUGGUAGGGUGCCCGGACUGAUGCAGCCACAACUGGAGGAAAUAGACACUGCAAGGAUUCAGUGUAGUGUCUGGAGCUGAGGGAUCUGGAUGUGGAUCAACUUGCAAAGGGAUCCUGUAGACAGGCAUGACAGAAAGUGGACAAGAGGACCACCCUGACCCCAGAGACAUGAGGGCCUGUGGUUCACCUUGGAGUAUCAGAAAAUAUGUGACCAUUGGCAGCUGGUUUGUGCAGAAUCCCUGGUUACGCUGAGCCUCGAGGACUGUGACUGUCUUAUGUACCUGUUGCCCGUGGGGCCUGGAAAAGGAAAAAAAUCAUGGGGGUGUUAGAAUAGAAGCAAGACAAUGCAUGCCACAUGCCACACGCUACAUGCCACAUGCCACACGCCACAUGUCACAGCUCCAUUGUUUUUGAAGCUAUUGUUUUCCUUUCUUAGCUUUGAG